ensembl:snRNA U2 U2 spliceosomal RNA
UGUCCUCCAUAGGAGGUCUAUAUUGAGCAGAUUCUUUUUGGUAUUGGGUGGUGGAACCGGAGCGUGCUCCAUCCACUCCAUGCAUUGACCUGGUAUUACAGUGCUUCCAGGACCGGUGC